AGCGCCGUGAGGGCUCCGCGCAAAUCCAUCUUACUCUCAAUAGCUAAGUGACAUGAAAGCCAUAAAAGAAAAAGUGGUCAGCAAUAUUUAGCAGCACGACUUGGCCCCGGGCGCAGAGAGCCGCGCUAUAAAAAGCCGCUGGAAUUUACUGGCAGCUACAAAUAUUUGCUUAACUUGCAUCUGGAGUUGGGGUGUUUUCCGGGGAGAGAGGAGGAGAGUGAGAGGACUGAUAUUUGCCAAAAGAACCGUGACGCAGGGUGACUUCCCAUCCAGGCCCUUCUUGGACCUUCCAGCACCCAAGAAAGGCAGGUCCCAGCAGGCCACUCCCACCUCUUUGCCCCUGUUACAGAAGGUCUCCAGACCCUCCUGCCUUGGACUUUCUGAGGUCCUGUUAUUCAGGGCAACUAUCAAAUUCUACCUGCUAAAACAUGAUGGAUUAGAGAAAAAAAAAAAACCCAUCAGGAACCUGAAAAACCAGCGUCAUCUCCAUGACCACGGCUUGAACUCUCCUUCCAACUUAACGAUAAUAGGUUCUGUCUUAGAAACUGCUAUGUAAUGUGAUGUAUGGGGGUCAUUUGGCUCCGGACGAGGGAUGGAAGCACAAGCCAUAAAAUCCUGCCAGAGUUCCCUGAUCUUUGUGUGCUGUUGUUGUUGUUGAUAUUUGUUACUUGGCCUAGUUACCUGCUUCAGAAACACCAAGUAAAGGACAAACCUGGAAAUCUAAAAAGCAACUGAAAGCCUUCUCAACCUUUUUAUUUAGAAAGCAUACUGUAAAAGUGAAAUCUAUGUUUUAUUUUUGUUUUCACCUUUGCAUGGUCAACCUCUGGUUCUCACUCAGCUCAGAAAACUUUCACGUGAGUUCAAAUAGUCGCCCCGCACACACAAUCAGGAUGUUAGUCUCUCUGACCAUUUAAGAAAAUUACAAUGACAAAUUCAUGAAGAAAAGGGCUUACACUUCAUGCCUCAACUAUGUGUACUUGAGUCCUGAAGUUAUUCAAAAUUCCAGGAAUAGCAGACACUUUGUUAACUAGAAAAAAAUUAAUGUAAUAAGCAUAUAGCAGUGGAUGAUUAUAAUUUUGUUUUUAAUAAUGGACUCCUUUGGAUUUCAUUAUUAAACCAACAAUCUGACCAACAUCUGGAAAACAGGCACAAUUUAAUUUUCCAGAACCUCAAUUAAAAAUUACAGCAGCCCUUAUCCGGAGUUAUUGUAUGUGAUCUUGAGCCCUGGAGUAUUGUUUCUCUUUUGGAAAUAGAUAGGAAGCUACAGAUACCAUGAUCAAAAGUAAAUAAAGGAUAAAAUAAAAUU